UACGAAGGGGGCUAGCGUUGCUCGGAAUCACUGGGCGUAAAGCGCACGUAGGCGGCUUUUUAAGUCAGGGGUGAAAUCCUGGAGCUCAACUCCAGAACUGCCUUUGAUACUGGCGAUCUUGAGUCCGGGAGAGGUGAGUGGAACUCCGAGUGUAGAGGUGAAAUUCGUAGAUAUUCGGAAGAACACCAGUGGCGAAGGCGGCUCACUGGCCCGGUACUGACGCUGAUGUGCGAAAGCGUGGGGAGCAAACAGG
rnacentral:rRNA from 1 species